rnacentral:tRNA from 1 species
GCGGACAUAGCUCAGUUGGGAGAGCGUCAGACUGAAGCGAACUAAGUUCUGUCAAACUUCGAUCACGUAAUCUGAAUGUCGUGUGUUCAAUCCACACUGGCCGCA